rnacentral:tRNA from 1 species
UGGCUCAGAGGGUAAAGCGUCUGCCUGCAAUGCAGGAGACCGGGGUUCGAUCCCUG